rfam:Blastochloris viridis isolate 1 genome assembly, chromosome: I
GCGCGGGACACCUCUCCCCAACGAGGGGCGCCCAUCUGAGAGGAUGGAUACC